rnacentral:pre_miRNA from 1 species
UUUGGUUCUCUAGUGGUGUUUGGCAAUGGUAGAACUCACACUGGUGAGGUAGAUGGAUCCGGUGGUUCUAGACUUGCCAACUACUGCUUGAGAGUGUCCAA